GCGGGGUGGGAUCGAGGGACGAACCUGGCCAGGAGGGCCCUGCGGCCUCCGUUCUCGGUCUUGCCUGGCGCGCGCCGUUAAACACAGAGCGGAGCAAAGAUGGAAGGAAAUGGUAGCCGAGCACUGGGCGAGGGCAGAGGAUUGCUUGGGCUGCUAUUCUGAAAUGAGACAGAAGAGGAUCAAGGCCCAAUGCAGGAAGACCCUCUAGGAGGCUACUCCGUGAUCCAGGGCACCUAGAACAAAAUUGAACUUUUCUGACGUUAGGCUGCCUCCUCACAACUUGAUGAUGCCCUCAGGCUCUAGUGAGGAAUAUCUGCACACAUGGUUUGUUCUGAUACAGACGUAUCCAACCUCUUCAUUCCAAACUACUGUCUCAAAAAGAGAAUGUGGCAAGUGUGUGUAACUGAGUAGCACAUAGAAGGAAGAAGAAGGCAACCAUGGCUGAAAGUGACCCCACUCAAUCUCAUUCAUGGACAGAGUGCAGUCUACUAGAUUGCUGCUGGUUGAGUGUCAACCAUAUCCUAAUCUUACAUCUCUGAAACUGCAUCUUAACUGUCCUGAUUAGACCUGGGUACCUCCCAAGUCCUCUCCCAGGCACGUAUUUACAGAUCAUCAAUACUGUGUUAGCAAAUAGAAGGUUCUGGAUGGGAACCUUGUAGCAUCCCCUUGUGCUAAUGCUUGUUAACUGUCACUGGCAGCCUGAAGAGCCAUCUUGAGAAGGAUUCUGAGGCUGUGAGCAGAGGUAGAGUCUUGCAUACCCUCAUAGUAUAUAAACAAUACAUGUUUACUAAGUUGAACUGAAUCUAAUAUGUUCUAGUUUCACUCUCAGAAAGAGAUAUUAUCUAUAAGUUCUGAAGUUUCCUUGCCACUUCCCAACACGUGGUCACCUCUCAGUCCUUAACAUGCUUGACCACUCUGGCUUUUGAUCAUGUUAAUUAUUACUUCUCAUAGCAUUCUCCUCUCUUGACUUUCUCUUGAGUUCACCUACCUCUUAGCUCUUUCUUUUUCUUCUCUGUGGACUCCUUUUCUACCAUUUAUAUUUUGAAUAUCCCCUGGGUGCUACCUUGGUCUGCUUCUCUCCUCCUUCUUACCCAGAUCUGAAUGGACUCAUCCAUGCCAUGGCUUCCAGUCCUGGCCUAAUUUCUUUCCAGAGCUCUAGACUCGUAAAUGUAGCUGCCCAUUUGACAUCUCACCUCUGAUGUCCUUCCACCAUUUCAACCCCAAUGGCCAAAUCUGAGCUUCUGUUCACCAUGGAAUCAAUUCACUAGGUUACAACCAGCAUGAAAAGAAUACAGUAGAAAGGAACUGAUGUGAAAAUAUCAGGAGACAUCAUUUGUAAUAAAGUAUUGAACUGUUUGGAGAAAUUUUUGCAUGUAGGCACUUGGUUGUGAUAUAUAAUGUUUUCCUGCAGCAGAUCAUAGUAAAAAAAAAAAAAAAAAUCCUUUCCAUUUCCUCUCCUAACUCUAACAAAAGCUAUUGAUGAACUCCUAUUCAUCCCUUCAAAUCUGGAUUGAGUGUCCCCUCCUCUGAAAGACUUCCCUUACUUCUUUGGGGACAGGCAGUUACUGUUUCAUCUUUCCCUUGCACAAGAUUUUGUUCUUGUUUUUUUAUGACUCAUAUAGAGUUAACCUGUCUCUCUCGUAGACCAUGAGCUCCUUGAGAGAAGGAUCAAGCAAGCUCUUCUUUGCUUCUCUGGUGCCUGGUAUAAGUAAUACGUGUUGGUUGAGGUGAACUGACUACUAAGCAUCUAAUAAUAAAAACUUGUUUCUGAGGCGUCUAAAGAAAGCACAAUAUUUUUUCAUUUAAAUGUGGUCUUACAGUUUACAGAAAUGUAUAUCAGUGACCUCUGAUACUUUUCCAAAUCGGAGAAACCAGAAGCUCAACGUCCAGAGCUAAAUUUGGCUAAGCAGUACUGCUUACAACUUGAAUCAUUUUGAACAAGUUACUUAAUUUUUCUGAGCCUUAGCAUACUAUUUUUUUAUGCCAUAUCGCUGCUCAAGAAUUUCCCGGGGAGAGACCUUCAAGAUGGCGGAGGAGUAAGACAUGGAGAUCACCUUCCUCCCCACAAAUACAUCAGAAAUACAUCUACAUGCGGAACAGCUCCUACAGAACACCUACGGAACGCUGGCAGAAGACCUCAGACCUGACCACCUAGAGGGGUGGGAUAGGGAGGGUGGGAGGGAGGGAGACACAAGAGGGAAGAGAUAUGGGAACAUAUGUAUAUGUGUAACUGAUUCACUUUGUUAUAAAGCAGAAACUAACACACCAUUGUAAAGCAAUUAUACUCCAAUAAAGAUGUUAAAAAAAAAAAAAA